rnacentral:rRNA from 1 species
UACAGAGGGGGCAAGCGUUAUUCGGAAUUAUUGGGCGUAAAGGGCGCGUAGGCGGCCUGGCAAGUGGAUGGUGAAAUCCCUCGGCUUAACCGAGGAACUGCCAUCCAGACUGCUUGGCUUGAGACCGGGAGAGGUGAGUGGAAUUCCCAGUGUAGCGGUGAAAUGCGUAGAUAUUGGGAGGAACACCAGUGGCGAAGGCGGCUCACUGGACCGGUACUGACGCUGAGGCGCGAAAGCGUGGGGAGCGAACAGG